UGGCGGACGGGUGAGUAAUGUCUGGGAAACUGCCCGAUGGAGGGGGAUAACUACUGGAAACGGUAGCUAAUACCGCAUAACGUCGCAAGACCAAAGAGGGGGACCUUAGGGCCUCUUGCCAUCGGAUGUGCCCAGAUGGGAUUAGCUAGUAGGUGGGGUAAUGGCUCACCUAGGCGACGAUCCCUAGCUGGUCUGAGAGGAUGACCAGCCACACUGGAACUGAGACACGGUCCGG
rnacentral:rRNA from 1 species